UCCUGCGUUCGAAAAUGAUUGUGGCAUGGUCUGUGGCCGAGUCAUUAAUAUUGCAGGCAGAGUAACGCAAAUAUGUUUCCCUGUGUUUAUUGGAGUGCCUGGCUCCAUUAAACCCUGUAACUUUUCAACA
ensembl:snoRNA SNORA71 Small nucleolar RNA SNORA71